rnacentral:rRNA from 1 species
GAGUUUGAUCUUGGCUCAGGAUGAACGCUGGCGGCGUGCCUAAUACAUGCAAGUCGAGCGAACGGACGAGAAGCUUGCUUCUCUGAUGUUAGCGGCGGACGGGUGAGUAACACGUGGAUAACCUACCUAUAAGACUGGGAUAACUUCGGGAAACCGGAGCUAAUACCGGAUAAUAUUUUGAACCGCAUGGUUCAAAAGUAAAGACGGUCUUGCUGUCACUUAUAGAUGGAUCCGCGCUGCAUUAGCUAGUUGGUAAGGUAACGGCUUACCAAGGCAACGAUGUAUAGCCGACCUGAGAGGGUGAUCGGCCACACUGGAACUGAGACACGGUCCAGACUCCUACGGGAGGCAGCAGUAGGGAAUCUUCCGCAAUGGGCGAAAGCCUGACGGAGCAACGCCGCGUGAGUGAUGAAGGUCUUCGGAUCGUAAAACUCUGUUAUUAGGGAAGAACAUAUGUGUAAGUAACUGUGCACAUCUUGACGGUACCUAAUCAGAAAGCCACGGCUAACUACGUGCCA